rnacentral:rRNA from 1 species
UAGCCACGGUAAUACCGCUCCCGAGUGGUGGGACGCUUAUUGGGCCUAAAGCAUCCGUAGCCGGCUGGACAAGUCCCUGUUAAAUCCAGCGAUUCAAUCGCUGGACUGCGGGGAUACUGUUCAGCUAGGGGCGGGAUAGGCCGACGGUAUUCCCGGGGUAGGGUGAAAUCUUAUAAUCCCGGGAGGACCACCAGUGGCGAAGGC